rnacentral:lncRNA from 1 species
GCAAAUCUGCACGGCUCCCUCGGCUGAUCUUGUUACGCCGGCCUAAAUAGCCAUGUGGGUAUUUAAUUUUAAAUCACGACGAGCAGCCUGCGAACAAGUUCUCGCCGGCGGAGUCCGAAGCGGAGGGGUGGGCGACUCUUCAGCUUAGGGGAACUGGGGAAAAAAAUACAGGAAAACGGGCACGAUUUCGCACUGGGGGGGGGGCGGGGGGGGGGGGUAUUGUUUUCACUCUCCCUGUGUAAAAGCCAACAGAGGUUUGAUAAAGAAAAGCCCCUGCCCCGCAGCUCGGCCGCCCGGUGGGCUCCCUGAAUCCCGCCCGGAUGCUCAGGUGCAGCCCGCAAGCAGGGACGGGCUGGGAGCCAGGGGGAAGCUCGGCCCCGGAGACCGCAUUUUCCCCCGUCGGGAAGCAGCACCACCCGCAAACAGAAGCCGAGCCGGCGGCGGCACCGGCGAGGCGGAGAGCCCGAAGAGUCGCCCCCCCGCAUCCCUCCCCGCAACUUUCUGCCGCCUCCCGUUUAUUUUUCCAGACGGCGUGAUAUUUUCGGAUGGGCUGCGGGGUGGUGGUUUGGGCUUUUUUUUUUUUUUUUUUUUUUUGGGUUUUUUUUUUUUUUUUUUAAAGGAAUAGCUCCAAUCCCACGCCCGUGCCCUCUCCCGAAGCAUCUCCCUCUUUCCCUUCCUCCCUCCUUCCCAGCUGGCUCUUCCUCGUGGAAGGAGAAUGGCUCGGCGCGGUUCCCGGCGAGGUUUUGCACCGAGGAGGGUGACUCCUGGCAGGGCUGCACGUCCCUCCUCUUACAUAACGGCCAUCCCCGGUGGGAGCCAGCUCCAGUUGGGGUGGCCGCGUUUGGGGACGGCCACCUUCAGGGGUGGACACGUUUGGGGGGCUCACACACCCCGAGCACUGCCACCUACGUGCCACCAGGCAUGGUCCCCCCUACCCUGACUGGAUUCCCCCCAAAGCCACCCAAGCACCCCAAAAUCUCCUCCAAGCCCUGGAUGCUGCUCACUGCCCCAUCCUCAUCCAGGCCCC